rnacentral:rRNA from 1 species
UACGUAUGUGGCAAGCGUUGUCCGGAAUUAUUGGGCGUAAAGCGCGCGCAGGCGGUCCUUUAAGUCUGAUGUGAAAGCCCACGGCUCAACCGUGGAGGGUCAUUGGAAACUGGGGGACUUGAGUGCAGAAGAGGAAAGUGGAAUUCCACGUGUAGCGGUGAAAUGCGUAGAGAUGUGGAGGAACACCAGUGGCGAAGGCGACUUUCUGGUCUGUAACUGACGCUGAGGCGCGAAAGCGUGGGGAGCAAACAGGAUUAGAAACCCC